rnacentral:piRNA from 1 species
UAGAUACAAACACACCGAAGAUGC